CGAUGAAAAACCUUUUUUUCUGAGGUGCGGCCCGCACCUGUCCAACUAAACUAGGGCUACCUUUUUUCAACACGGUUGCAUCGGUUGGGCUUGUCGAAAGGCGCCUUUGUGCGUCGGGCGACAACCUAACACCUUUACAAACACUUUUGAUGAUCUAGGAUUUGGAAGAAUUUAUUAUUUUUACGGCUGGUAAUGCGGUCGUCUAAAAAUCUUAAAA
rnacentral:misc_RNA from 1 species